rnacentral:rRNA from 1 species
GACGAACGCUGGCGGCGUGCUUAACACAUGCAAGUCGAACGGAAAGGCCCUGCUUUUGUGGGGUGCUCGAGUGGCGAACGGGUGAGUAACACGUGAGUAACCUGCCCUUGACUUUGGGAUAACUUCAGGAAACUGGGGCUAAUACCGGAUAGGAGCUCCUGCUGCAUGGUGGGGGUUGGAAAGUUUCGGCGGUUGGGGAUGGACUCGCGGCUUAUCAGCUUGUUGGUGGGGUAGUGGCUUACCAAGGCUUUGACGGGUAGCCGGCCUGAGAGGGUGACCGGCCACAUUGGGACUGAGAUACGGCCCAGACUCCUACGGGAGGCAGCAGUGGGGAAUAUUGCACAAUGGGCGGAAGCCUGAUGCAGCAACGCCGCGUGCGGGAUGACGGCCUUCGGGUUGUAAACCGCUUUCGCCUGUGACGAAGCGUGAGUGACGGUAAUGGGUAAAGAAGCACCGGCUAACUACGUGCCAGCAGCCGCGGUGAUACGUAGGGUGCGAGCGUUGUCCGGAUUUAUUGGGCGUAAAGGGCUCGUAGGUGGUUGAUCGCGUCGGAAGUGUAAUCUUGGGGCUUAACCCUGAGCGUGCUUUCGAUACGGGUUGACUUGAGGAAGGUAGGGGAGAAUGGAAUUCCUGGUGGAGCGGUGGAAUGCGCAGAUAUCAGGAGGAACACCAGUGGCGAAGGCGGUUCUCUGGGCCUUUCCUGACGCUGAGGAGCGAAAGCGUGGGGAGCGAACAGGCUUAGAUACCCUGGUAGUCCACGCUGUAAACGGUGGGUACUAGGUGUGGGGUCCACUCCACGGGUUCCGUGCCGUAGCUAACGCUUUAAGUACCCCGCCUGGGGAGUACGGCCGCAAGGCUAAAACUCAAAGGAAUUGACGGGGCCCCGCACAAGCGGCGGAGCAUGCGGAUUAAUUCGAUGCAACGCGUAGAACCUUACCUGGGUUUGACAUGGAUCGGGAGCGCUCAGAGAUGGGUGUGCCUCUUUUGGGGUCGGUUCACAGGUGGUGCAUGGCUGUCGUCAGCUCGUGUCGUGAGAUGUUGGGUUAAGUCCCGCAACGAGCGCAACCCUUGUUCACUGUUGCCAGCACGUUAUGGUGGGGACUCAGUGGAGACCGCCGGGGUCAACUCGGAGGAAGGUGGGGAUGACGUCAAGUCAUCAUGCCCCUUAUGUCCAGGGCUUCACGCAUGCUACAAUGGCUGGUACAGAGAGUGGCGAGCCUGUGAGGGUGAGCGAAUCUCGGAAAGCCGGUCUCAGUUCGGAUUGGGGUCUGCAACUCGACCUCAUGAAGUCGGAGUCGCUAGUAAUCGCAGAUCAGCAACGCUGCGGUGAAUACGUUCCCGGGGCU